rnacentral:rRNA from 1 species
AUUGAACGCUGGCGGCAUGCUUUACACAUGCAAGUCGAACGGUAACAGGCCGCAAGGUGCUGACGAGUGGCGAACGGGUGAGUAAUGCAUCGGAACGUGCCCAGUCGUGGGGGAUAACUACUCGUAAGAGUAGCUAAUACCGCAUACGAUCUAUGGAUGCAAGCGGGGGACCGUAAGGCCUCGCGCGAUUGGAGCGGCCGAUGUCAGAUUAGGUAGUUGGUGGGGUAAAGGCUCACCAAGCCAACGAUCUGCAGCUGGUCUGAGAGGACGACCAGCCACACUGGGACUGAGACACAGCCCAGACUCCUACGGUAGGCAGCAGUGGGGAAUUUUGGACAAUGGGCGCAAGCCUGAUCCAGCAAUGCCGCGUGCAGGAAGAAGGCCUUCGGGUUGUAAACUGCUUUUGUACGGAACGAAACGGCUCUGGUUAAUACCCGGGGCUAAUGACGGUACCGUAAGAAUAAGCACCGGCUAACUACGUG